AACGCACAUUGCGCCCUCUGGUAUUCCGGAGGGCAUGCCUGUUCGAGCGUCAUUACAACCCUCAAGCUCUGCUUGGUAUUGGGCGUCACCAGUUCUGGUGUGCUCUAAAAUCAGUGGCGGUGCCGUCUGGCUCUAAGCGUAGUACAUCUCUCGCUAUGGAUGCCUGGUGGAUGCUUGCCAAUAACCCCAAAUUUUUUAAGGUUGACCUCGGAUCAGGUAGGGAUACCCGCUGAACUUAA
rnacentral:misc_RNA from 1 species